UACGGGGGGGGCAAGCGUUGUUCGGAAUUACUGGGCGUAAAGGGCUCGUAGGUGGCCAACUAAGUCAUACGUGAAAUCCCUCGGCUUAACCGGGGAACUGCGUCUGAUACUGGAUGGCUUGAGGUUGGGAGAGGGAUGCGGAAUUCCAGGUGUAGCGGUGAAAUGCGUAGAUAUCUGGAGGAACACCGGUGGCGAAGGCGGCUAUCUGGACCGACAUUGACGCUGAGGCGCGAAAGCGUGGGGAGCAAACAGG
rnacentral:rRNA from 1 species